CUCACCAUGGAUGAUGAUAUCGCCGCGCUCGUUGUCGACAACGGCUCCGGCAUGUGCAAGGCCGGCUUCGCGGGCGACGAUGCCCCCCGGGCCGUCUUCCCCUCCAUCGUGGGGCGCCCCAGGCACCAGGGCGUGAUGGUGGGCAUGGGUCAGAAGGAUUCCUAUGUGGGCGACGAGGCCCAGAGCAAGAGAGGCAUCCUCACCCUGAAGUACCCUAUCGAGCACGGCAUCGUCACCAACUGGGACGACAUGGAGAAGAUCUGGCACCACACCUUCUACAAUGAGCUGCGUGUGGCUCCCGAGGAGCACCCCGUGCUGCUCACCGAGGCCCCCCUGAACCCCAAGGCCAACCGCGAGAAGAUGACCCAGAUCAUGUUUGAGACCUUCAACACCCCAGCCAUGUACGUUGCUAUCCAGGCUGUGCUAUCCCUGUACGCCUCUGGCCGUACCACUGGCAUCGUGAUGGACUCCGGUGACGGGGUCACCCACACUGUGCCCAUCUACGAGGGGUAUGCCCUCCCCCAUGCCAUCCUGCGUCUGGACCUGGCUGGCCGGGACCUGACUGACUACCUCAUGAAGAUCCUCACCGAGCGCGGCUACAGCUUCACCACCACGGCCGAGCGGGAAAUCGUGCGUGACAUUAAGGAGAAGCUGUGCUACGUCGCCCUGGACUUCGAGCAGGAGAUGGCCACGGCUGCUUCCAGCUCCUCCCUGGAGAAGAGCUACGAGCUGCCUGACGGCCAGGUCAUCACCAUUGGCAAUGAGCGGUUCCGCUGCCCUGAGGCACUCUUCCAGCCUUCCUUCCUGGGUGAGUGGAGACUGCCUCCUGGCUCUGCCUGACAUGAGGGUCACCCCUCGGGGCUGUGCUGUGGAAGCUACCUCCUGGCUCUGCCUGACAUGAGGGUCACCCCUCGGGGCUGUGCUGUGGAAGCUAAGUCCUUCCCUCAUUUCCCUCUCAGGCAUGGAGUCCUGUGGCAUCCACGAAACUACCUUCAACUCCAUCAUGAAGUGUGACGUGGACAUCCGCAAAGACCUGUACGCCAACACAGUGCUGUCUGGCGGCACCACCAUGUACCCUGGCAUUGCCGACAGGAUGCAGAAGGAGAUCACUGCCCUGGCACCCAGCACAAUGAAGAUCAAGAUCAUUGCUCCUCCUGAGCGCAAGUACUCCGUGUGGAUCGGCGGCUCCAUCCUGGCCUCGCUGUCCACCUUCCAGCAGAUGUGGAUCAGCAAGCAGGAGUAUGACGAGUCCGGCCCCUCCAUCGUCCACCGCAAAUGCUUCUAGGCGGACU
rnacentral:sRNA from 1 species